UCAAGCAGGUUGUAAAGUUGCGGGGUGAAUUCCUGCGAUUCCCACGCUGCUGCCAGCGCCGUGGGGAGGUGGCGUUGGGGCUGUGACACCCCCGCGGGGUGCCCACCUUCCCCGGGCUGCCCGCAUUGGAACAACUCUCCUUCCACGCACCCCCCGGCACAAAUCGCUCCCCAGCCCGGCUGCACAGCCGCAGGCUCCGGUCCCCGGGCUGGAGCCGCUGCCGCCAGCCCGAGCGGCUCCUCCGCCGCACCGAAACUGAGCAUCCAUCGCCCUCCUGCACCGGGGGAAGCACCGGGCGGCGAUGGGGGCCGGGGGGGGGGGGUUUACUCAGCCAAGCCGUGUUUACACACACAAACACGAUCCAAUUUACCGAGCUGGAACAGAAAGCACUCAUUUACAUACUAAAGAUUUUUCGCUUAUUUUUAAAGGAAAGCACGCGAAAACAUUUCAGCUGGAAAAUUCUCAUCAUUGCAAUACUGACCUUUGCAAAGGGCUUUAAAUCCUUGAGUGGAAGUAGCAGGAAGCUUUCAGAGCCCAUGACGAGCAUGAGCAUCUCUGGAAGCAGAAGUUGGCUGCAGAAUUCCAGCCUGUUCCUGGGCUUUGCUCAAAUCCAGGCAAAGGGUUUGUUGUGCACUGCAAUGGUUUAUUCUUCAGAGCAGAGAUAGAAAUGAUGCUGUUUGAUUGAGGUGGCUAAUUACACAGCUUGGAAAGUAAAUUACAGCUAUCAAAUACCCCAGUGAAUAUUCCCUCACAAAUAGGCAGAGAAGAAAAUGAAAUUUUUUGGGUUUGCUGGCAAUUUGGAAAUAAAAACAUUGUCUCUGGUGGCGAAUUUAAAACCAAUCCCUUUCAAAUUCUUCUGCAACUGCUAAAUUCAAAUGAUGCUUUGUUGCAGACCAACCAGAC